CCGAUAGCGAACAAGUACCGUGAGGGAAAGGUGAAAAGUACCCCGGGAGGGGAGUGAAAUAGUACCUGAAACCGUGUGCCUACAAACCGUCGGAGCCUUUAGGGGUGACGGCGUGCCUUUUGAAGAAUGAGCCUGCGAGUUAGUGGUGUGUGGCGAGGUUAACCCGUGUGGGGAAGCCGUAGCGAAAGCGAGUUCGAAUAGAGCGAUUGAGUCGCACGCCCUAGACCCGAAGCGGAGUGAUCUAUCCAUGGGCAGGUUGAAGCGCGGGUAAGACCGCGUGGAGGACCGAACCCACCAGGGUUGAAAACCUGGGGGAUGACCUGUGGAUAGGGGUGAAAGGCCAAUCAAACUCCGUGAUAGCUGGUUCUCCCCGAAAUGCAUUUAGGUGCAGCGUCACGUGUUUCUUACCGGAGGUAGAGCUACUGGAUGGCCAAUGGGCCCUACAAGGUUACUGACGUCAGCCAAACUCCGAAUGCCGGUAAGUGAGAGCGUGGCAGUGAGACUGCGGGGGAUAAGCUCCGUAGUCGAGAGGGAAACAACCCAGAUCACCAGCUAAGGCCCCUAAGCGUGUGCUAAGUGGGAAAGGAUGUGGAGUUGCACAGACAACCAGGAGGUUGGCUUAGAAGCAGCCACCCUUUAAAGAGUGCGUAAUAGCUCACUGGUCAAGUGAUUCCGCGCCGACAAUGUAGCGGGGCUCAAGCACACCGCCGAAGCUGUGACAUUCAUGCAAUAGCCAGGCCUUCGUGGUCCAGGCGUGUGGAUGGGUAGGGGAGCGUCGUGUGGCGAGUGAAGCGGCGGGGUGACCCAGUCGUGGACGCCACACGAGUGAGAAUGCAGGCAUGAGUAGCGAAAGACGGGUGAGAAACCCGUCCGCCGAAUGACCAAGGGUUCCAGGGCCAGGCUAAUCCGCCCUGGGUAAGUCGGGACCUAAGGCGAGGCCGACAGGCGUAGUCGAUGGACAACGGGUUGAUAUUCCCGUACCGGCGAAGAAUCGCCCAUAUUGAACCCGGUAAUGCUAAACGCCCAAAGCCUUCCACCGUUACCUUCGGGUAACACCGGGAGUGCGGCGCGCGUGACCCGAACCGGUAGUAGGUAAGCGAUGGGGUGACGCAGGAAGGUAGCCACCGCGUGGCGAUGGUAGUCCACGUCCAAGGGUGUAGGGCGAGAUGUAGGCAAAUCCGCAUCUCAUAUAGCCUGAGACCUGAUGGUGACCGCAUUAGCGGGAAGCAGGGUGAUCCUAUGCUGCCUAGAAAAGCCUCUAGCGAGAUUCGAGCCGCCCGUACCCCAAACCGACUCAGGUGGUCAGGUAGAGAAUACUAAGGCGAUCGAGUGAAUCAUGGUUAAGGAACUCGGCAAAAUGCCCCCGUAACUUCGGGAGAAGGGGGGCCUGAGGGGUGAAGCCACUUGCUGGCUAGCCUUUGAAGGCCGCAGAGACCAGGGAGAAGCGACUGUUUACUAAAAACACAGGUCCGUGCGAAGUCGCAAGACGAUGUAUACGGACUGACGCCUGCCCGGUGCUGGAACGUUAAGGGGACGGGUUAGCCGCAAGGCGAAGCUCAGAACUUAAGCGCCAGUAAACGGCGGUGGUAACUAUAACCAUCCUAAGGUAGCGAAAUUCCUUGUCGGGUAAGUUCCGACCUGCGCGACUGGCGCAAUGAUGGCCAGGCUGUCUCCACCCGAGACUCAGUGAAAUUGAACUCGCUGU
rnacentral:rRNA from 1 species